rnacentral:rRNA from 1 species
UACGUAGGGCGCAAGCGUUGUCCGGAAUUAUUGGGCGUAAAGAGCUCGUAGGCGGCUUGUCACGUCGGGUGUGAAAGCCCGGGGCUUAACCCCGGGUCUGCAUUCGAUACGGGCUAGCUGGAGUGUGGUAGGGGGGAUCGGAAUUCCUGGUGUAGCGGUGAAAUGCGCAGAUAUCAGGAGGAACACCGGUGGCGAAGGCGGAUCUCUGGGCCAUUACUGACGCUGAGGAGCGAAAGCGUGGGGAGCGAACAGG